GUGUGUCACUGAAUUCCUCCACCUAGAAAAAAUUGCAGCCACUGACAUUCAGCAAUGCUUGCUGAACAUUUAUGGAGACCAAACAGUGGAUGUGAGCACAGUGAGGCAAGGGCAUGUCACUCAGCAGACGAGUUUCAUGAAAGGACUGAGAAGAAGAAAUGCCAAAAAAAGAAAAGGAAAUUAUGAGCCAGAGGGUUUAAAGCUCCCAGCUGAAUAAAGAGAAACUGGAAAGUAUCUUAAUGACAGAGGAGCAGAUAUGACAAUAAUGAUAAUAAAAACCUAGAGGUUAGAGUUGAAGGCCAGACUGUCAAACCAGGCAGUCUGCCCAGGGUGCUGAGAGACAAGACUUGCCAGGAGAAAUGCGUACUCCAGAGAUCUGCUUCGGAGCCUUAGGGAUGUAAUUCCCUUUCAGUGAUCUAAUGUGGAUACAAAAGGCAAUUUCAGGAGGUAACAACUCACUGGAAGCUUUUGAAACUUCCUCAGAUGAACAAAUUUAUGCAGGCCUUUUUCUUCCUCACAGUUGUUUUCAGCUGAUGAAUUUCCAGCAUACAACAGGCGUUCUUAUUAAUUCCUAAAUGCAUGACCUUGCAUACUGAACUACUUCAAUUUCAUCCUAUUGCUCUUGCUCCAAUUCUCAAGGUGACACAUUCCUCCUGCACACUGACAAUUGCUCACAACUUUUGUGAUCACUGCAUUUCAUUAUUGGACUCCUGCCUCUGUGUCAAGGACUCUAAUGAAAAUAUUAAAUAAAAUUGUCCCAAAUUGAAUCCUUUGGGGGCUCUAUUGAUGGUCUCAGAAUAUCAUUAAGUCUUACACUUUACUACUAAUUGCACUAUAUUAUUUACAUUGUAGUAGCAAUACAAGACUCAACCACCCUCUACCACUAUGCGUAUAUAUACACAAUAGAAGACAGCCACUGUCCAGAGGAGCCAACAGCUCAAACUGAUAACUAGAGACAGGUUGGAAGUAGUAUUCAGAGCCAGUGCCAAACAAAAGCACAUAAUUGCCCAAGAAAUCCAACACAGAUCUGCUGAAUACCAGUGUGGUGUUAUGAAAAACCUAUCUAUCUUCUCUAAAGCAUUACUCUAUUCAUCAACAGAAACAAGGCACUGACAUGUUUCAAAGACAUCAUUUCUGAAACAAGUAGGUUAAAUAUUCAAGAGGAUAAUUUAAUAUAAUAUAGUAGAAAGUCUUAACUGAAUAUGACAUAAAAUGAUCAACACCCAAGGAAGCAGGCCAUACCUUUGACAUUUGUCAUUUGAUGAUGUGCUGCACUGCAGGGCAUAAAUAGGGCAGCCACGCUCACUACUCUGAAACACAGGGACCAAUCUCAGACCACUGAGGCAUAGUAAGAAAGGACAAGCUCUGAUACCACAACUUGCAACUGUAACCACACAGGUAACCAAGCAGCAAAGACACCUAAACCUGGGGGUGUGUACAUACAUGCUGGAGUGACUGACUGUAGCGAACACUUCAUUGCUUAGUUUUGUUGCUGUUGUCAUGACAUUCUUUGCCUCAAAGUCCUGGGCUCUCAGACGGCUCAACAACACAAACACUGUUUUGUAUUUUAUUUAUCCUGUAACUGAACUCACACUUCUAUGUUUCCACAUUUUUUUUCUCCUGCAUUUUGAGAGGCCACAAUCCAGCUGAUCUUACGGCUGAAAUUUUUAAGCAUCUGGCAAGGAAAUGAAUAGUGCUACAGAUUAUUUCCUGCUAAACCUAUUUUAACACCUGAAGAAAUAUCCAGAAUGUUGCUUUGAGGUUCCUCAAAAAUAGGAAUGUUGGCACACCAGCAUUCUCUGGAUCUGUCAAAUGAGAUUCCUAAAUAUUUAAUAGAAAAUUUUUUCAACAUUAGUUUUAGCAUUUUUUUUAACACACACCAUCCUUCUUUGGGAUAUAAUUGA